rnacentral:snoRNA from 1 species
UUAGACUGAAAAUGGUCUCAGAUGUAACGGUGGUCUGAGGUCAGAUAACUGAGCCUAAAGUAAUCAGGCGCAUUAAAGCUUAUCACCUGCUCUGCCUGUUAGCACAGUGAUAAAACCCAUGUGCCAACAAAC